rnacentral:rRNA from 1 species
AGUGAACGCUGGCGGUAGGCCUAACACAUGCAAGUCGAAUGGCAGCACAGUAAGAGCUUGCUCUUACGGGUGGCGAGUGGCGGACGGGUGAGGAAUACAUCGGAAUCUACUUUUUCGUGGGGGAUAACGUAGGGAAACUUACGCUAAUACCGCAUACGACCUACGGGUGAAAGCAGGGGAUCUUCGGACCCUGCGCGAUUGAAUGAGCCGAUGUCGGAUUAGCUAGUUGGCGGGGUAAAGGCCCACCAAGGCGACGAUCCGUAGCUGGUCUGAUAGGAUGAUCAGCCACACUGGAACUGAGACACGGUCCAGACUCCUACGGGAGGCAGCAGUGGGGAAUAUUGGACAAUGGGCGCAAGCCUGAUCCAGCCAUACCGCGUGGGUGAAGAAGGCCUUCGGGUUGUAAAGCCCUUUUGUUGGGAAAGAAAAGCAGCAGGUUAAUACCCCGCUGUUCUGACGGUACCCAAAGAAUAAGCACCGGCUAACUUCGUG